rnacentral:rRNA from 1 species
UACGGAGGGUGCAAGCAUUGAUCGGAAUUACUGGGCGUAAAGGGCGCGUAGGCGGCCAAGAAAGUUAGAUGUGAAAUUCCGGGGCUCAACCCCGGAGCUGCAUUUAAAACUUCAUGGCUAGAGUUCAGUUAGGGUAAACGGAAUUCCACGUGUAGCGGUGAAAUGCGUAGAUAUGUGGAAGAACACCGGUGGUGAAGACGGUUUACUGGGCUGAUACUGACGCUGAGGCGCGAAAGCAUGGGGAGCAAACAGG